rnacentral:lncRNA from 1 species
AUGCAAACCAGGAGCACUGUCUCAGAAGAACAGAGGAGGAGAAUAGAGACAAAACAAGUGUUCUUCCCAAACGCAGAGUCUGAAAUGAGGACACACAUGCGACCAGUUCUUCUGGAAGUUAUUGCAGAAAGCGCCGUGAGGAAAUGGGGAUGUAAGGCGGAGAAAGAAAAUUUAUUUGUGCGAGUAAGACAGAGCCCAAGGGAAGAGCAGAGGGAGAACACAGACUCUGCACGCUGCUCUGGGUAUGGAGCCUGAUGCAUGGCUUGAUCUCAGGACUCUGAGAUCAUGACCUCAGUGGAAACGAAGAGUUCUGCACUCAGCUGAGUGCCCUGCUAAGCUCUUUUCAUGAGGAAGUCUGUAAGUCCAGCUCACACUCAAGGGAAAGGGGCUGAACUAGAGGGUGUGGAUCAGCCACAUAAUAUAUAUAAAUAAUAUAUUUUAAUAUACUAUUUAUAU